UCCUUUGGGGAAAAAUCCAACCAAAACAAAAGCAGCUUUAAUAUAGCUGUAUAGCCAGUAUACCAAAUAGGGUUCCUGAAGUGAGUUAAAAACUACAAUCCUGACAUUUCUAUUUAAAUUUUUCUUUAGGGAGAUCACAUUUGGAUGAGUUCAAAAGCUGUUUUCAUGAGUUUUUGCAAUUUUCAUCUACAGCAAAAUUUAGCUGUUUUCACCAGGCAUCACUGCAAGUUGCCAGGAAAGUGUCAGAAUUCUUCUCAGUAAAUCAGUUUUUACAAAUUUGUCUCAGGUAGAAAAAACAUUUGCAAAGAAAAUGAGUCUUAUGACUAAAGGGGAAAAAAAAGUAACAAAUCUAGUGAUGGGGAAAGAAAAAUAGUGUUCUUGCUAAAGGCUAUUUUUAUCUUUGUAAUUUUUAAAGACUGUUGUUUAUAUCCUUGUAGUAAGCUCUCCUGUUUACUGAUCGAAUAACUGGUAAGAAAAAAUGCUUUAAGACCUUCAAAAUAUUUGUGAUAGAUGAGGAUAAAAAUGUUGCUACACUCUAUGAAAGACAAUUUCUUCUGUAAUAAAAUGGUUUGCUCACACAUUCUUAACUGCCUAUUUUUCAUCUUGUAGGUUAGCGAGCUCUGUAGUCCAUGCUUGAAUAAGUCUGUCCAGUUGCACCUUGAACACUGAAAACAAUUGUACAACAUCAGUUCUUUCUUCAAGCCUCAAAUGCCACUAGUGAGGCACACACUGCCAGAAUGGACCUCACCUUCCCAUGGUGCAAGGAAGAGUCAGAGCUGCCUCCCUGCAGAGUUUCAUUCCUACACCGGCUCCGAAAGUGGCAACACUGAGGAAUAUUUUGAUUAAAUACUAGAGUAAUUCAGUUUUCCUGACCUCAUCUCAUAUUCUGUGGGAAGCAACGACCUUUGCUUGCAGGGCUCUCAGUUCAUCCCAAGAGGAGAGAAGACACAAGAACUGCCAAUACCUGAAUCAAGCUUUUGAUUCACCCCUAAUUACAGUCCAUAAAGAAGCUUUGUCCUCCUCUUGUGCUCUCCUGCCUUCCCCUCCACAGCUGCCUGCAAUUCCCGCCAAAAGGUUGGUUCAGACCCUCACUGUGCACGUGUUUAUAUCCAAGUUUAUCUGAGCCCAGACUAUGCCUGUCUCUGAUCAAAGGUCAACUUUAAACUUAAGCAGAUGUUUGUCCUCAGAGUUUACAUAGUUUAUAUAUUUAGAAGACAAAUGUUCUCUUGGCUUUUGUUAUUCUAUAUUAAACAAGCCAAAUUCUCUUUAGGUAUGACUGACAGGGAGCAGGCAGUGGUGUUUGUGCUCAGUCAGUGCCAGGGGCCGGCAGAACU